rnacentral:rRNA from 1 species
GUGCCAGACUCCUACGGGAGGCAGCAGUGGGGGAUAUUGGACAAUGGGGGAAACCCUGAUCCAGCGACGCCGCGUGAGUGAAGAAGUCUUUCGGUAUGUAAAGCUCUAUCAGCAGGGAAGAAAGAAAUGACGGUACCUGAGUAAGAAGCCCCGGCUAACUACGUGCCAGCAGCCGCGGUAAUACGUAGGGGGCAAGCGUUAUCCGGAAUUACUGGGUGUAAAGGGAGCGUAGACGGUAAUGCAAGUCUGGAGCGAAAGGCGGGGGCCCAACCCCCGGACUGCUCUGGAAACUGUGUAAUUGGAGUGCAGGAGAGGCAGGCGGAAUUCCUAGUGUAGCGGUGAAAUGCGUAGAUAUUAGGAGGAACACCAGUGGCGAAGGCGGCCUGCUGGACUGUAACUGACGUUGAGGCUCGAAAGCGUGGGGAGCAAACAGGAUUAGAUACCCGCGUA